rnacentral:rRNA from 1 species
GUGCCUACGGGACGCAGCAGUCGAGAAUCAUUCACAAUGGGGGAAACCCUGAUGCAGCGACGCCGCGUGAGUGAAGAAGUAUUUCGGGAUGUAAAGCUCUAUCAGCAGGGAAGAUAAUGACGGUACCUGACUAAGAAGCCCCGGCUAACUACGUGCCAGCAGCCGCGGUAAUACGUAGGGGGCAAGCGUUAUCCGGAUUUACUGGGUGUAAAGGGUGCGUAGGUGGCAGGGCAAGUCAGAUGUGAAAGCCCGGGGCUCAACCCCGGUACUGCAUUUGAA